rnacentral:lncRNA from 1 species
CCCGCCCAGCUACAGUAACCAAUCAGCUUCAACUUCGCGGAUCGUGCUCCACCGACCUAAGGGACCAAGGAAAACAGUGCGAUUAAUGUCGGUUUGAUCCGACAGCCCAGAUUCAUCUGAAAAGACUAUAUAAGCAAGGCCCCCUGGCCCCUGGAGAGCAUACCUCUUCUACAGAAUCAAAGCUAGGGUUUCAAUUCUUCAU